rnacentral:sRNA from 1 species
UGGCGAGCGCCGCAGUGCCCCUGAACGGGCG